GAUGACUUUGAAAUGGCAUUUGGUUGUUUUGUUUAUUUGAAUUUGGCUCUCCAAUGCUAGAAAACGGUAACUUUCAUUUUGGGUUUUUAAAUUCAUAGGGCCUCAACUGCAGAAAUUCAAAACCCAAAUCCAAUUUUUGAUUUUUGGAUUCAAAAUUGUUUGGCAUGUAGAGAGCCAAAGUUUCUAUGGCCUAAACAUAGAUGACUUGACCUUUUGUUGUGCAGAUGUAGAAAGAAAUAAAAGAGCUAAUUCAACAUUGAGAUCUUGCUCAAUCUCCUCUCAAGGGCUUGUCUCUUUUCUCAACACUUUUCAGGUCAAGGGCAUUGAGUACAGAGUAUAACUCUCUCCCAAACGAAUCUUCCCAACCAUUUGACUGUGAUUGAGAUGAAUUUGUCAUGGUCUCGAGAGCUGAUGUGAAUCCUACGCAAUUGAGGAAUUCAUGAUUUCGACGUGAUUGAUGACAAGUGACGAGUACAUAGUCCACUUUAGCUUAUGGGCUAUUUCAAAGGUAUUAUAGAGGUUUCCAUAUCAUGCACCACCAUGUGGGUAUGUUUGUAGUUUGGCUGAUGUGCAGUUGUGUAGAAGACUAGAGGCUGGAUGUUUGGGCUCACAAGGUUGGUGUUUGCUGUAUAUAUGGAUUCAUGGGUGGUUGUCUUAUUGCUAUAUGUUGUGUGCUAUAGGGCUGUUAGGAGGGUGGAUUGUAAAAUUCAGGGGUGUGCCGGCGGCUGUAUGUCUAUCGAGUAGGGGUUCGGGCCCCCCUUCUGUUUUAUAUCUAGGUGUGGCUUCACGCAAUGGCUGUUGCAGGCCUUCUACAGUUGUUGUUAUCUUGCAUUCUAGCAUGAAAUCAGCACUCGAGGAAGACCUUUACUGGUGUGCUGCAACCCUUUCCUUUUUCAACAAACAGGUGAUGAGUUCUCAAAUAGAACAAAUACGUGCACACACAUACCAAUAAUAAAACAAUACAUGCAUAAAGAAUGUCAAGAGCAUGCUUGAUAUAGGGAAUGACACUCUCUACCUGAGUUUUUCUCGUAGGCAAAUAAAUAGCUUUGCAAAUAAUCCACUGUCUCAUGAGUUGCUUCCACUGUUCCACAUGAAAAUCUUCCAUUAAAACUCUCAAGAUCGUUUUAGAAUGCUGAAAUUGUUAUUGAAAAUUAAUUGAAAGAAGGAAAGCUAUCCAUUAAGAUAAUGGACAACUAUUGCCAAUUAGAAGAGAGUCCCUUACUUUUAGAUAGCUAUCAGAUCAUUAAAUAACCAUUUUGAGUUCAGGAGUUUUUCAGAUAGCUCUUCUUGAUCUUGAUAAAGCUCUUUUCUUCUGAUUGUUUAAGUUAUUUAAAAACUGAAAUGCUUGCAAUGGCUCUUGUUUUAGUGGUAUGUUGGGAAUGGGAUUCUUUUGAAUAUCUAAUCUGAAUCCUUAUUUUAUCAUUGACAGUCGACAGAUGUAUUUGCAUGUGUUAUGACAGAUUUCUUUUUCGGAAAGUAACAUUACCAGGGAUUGAACCCUGGAUCACUCACACACACUUCUUAAUCUUAUUAUGACAGAUAAAAAUUUUCCUAGUUCAGUGGCUUCC